rnacentral:rRNA from 1 species
CCUACGGGAGGCAGCAGUGAGGAAUAUUGGUCAAUGGACGCAAGUCUGAACCAGCCAAGUAGCGUGAAGGAUGACUGCCCUAUGGGUUGUAAACUUCUUUUGUAUGGGAAUAAAAUGUUCCACGUGUGUGAUUUUGUAUGUACCAUAUGAAUAAGGAUCGGCUAACUCCGUCCCAGCAGCCGCGGUAAUACGGAGGAUCCGAGCGUUAUCCGGAUUUAUUGGGUUUAAAGGGUGCGUAGGUGGUUUGUUAAGUUAGUUGUGAAAGCUUGCGGCUCAACCGUAAAACUGCAGUUGAAACUGGCAGUCUUGAGUACAGUAGAGGUGGGCGGAAUUCGUGGUGUAGCGGUGAAAUGCAUAGAUAUCAUGCAGAACUCCGAUUGCGAAGGCAGCUCACUGGACUGCAACUGACACUGAGGCUCGAAAGUGUGGGUAGCAAACAGGAUUAGAUACCCCUGUAGUC